GGAGUUGUGGCUCAGUGGUAGAGUACUUACCUAGCAUGUGUGAGGCCCUGGGUUCAAUUCUCAGCACCA
rnacentral:tRNA from 1 species